GUUUAUGAGGAGAUUAAGCGGGAGAUUGAGGGAUUCAAAUUGGGCAACGAAGGUUCUAACAGAGGACAAAGAGCUCAAAUCAAGUGGCAUAACGAUGAUUCGUGAAUCAGAGCAUUCGGACUCGAUCCGAGCCUUGGUUUCCUCAGCUGCUUUGAGGUUCCGGGACGGGAGGAUUAAACGAGCCCCACGUUUGGCAAGAACCCG
rnacentral:misc_RNA from 1 species